rnacentral:rRNA from 1 species
ACUCCUACGGGAGGCAGCAGUGGGGAAUAUUGCACAAUGGGGAAACCCUGAUGCAGCCAUGCCGCGUGUGUGAAGAAGGCCUUCGGUUGUAAAGCACUUUCAGUAGGGAGGAAGGUAGUGUAGUUAACACCUGCAUUAUUUGACGUUACCUACAGAAGAAGCACCGGCUAACUCCGUGCCAGCAGCCGCGGUAAUACGGAGGGUGCGAGCGUUAAUCGGAAUUACUGGGCGUAAAGCGCAUGCAGGCGGCCUGUUAAGUCAGAUGUGAAAGCCCGGGGGCUUAACCUCGGAAUUGCAUUUGAAACUGGCAGGCUAGAGUCUGUAGAGGGGGUAGGAAUUUCAGGUGUAGCGGUGAAAUGCGUAGAGAUCUGAAGGAAUACCAGUGGCGAAGGCGGCCCCCUGGACAAAGACUGACGCUCAGAUGCGAAAGCGUGGGGAGC